GCCUUUGCGAGUGCCGUGAGAAGAUGCCGGGACCGUGAUUCGUAGGAACCUCACGGCAUCCCUGCCGUUUGCUGCUUGGGACGAAGCGGCUCCGCAGGCGGCUUUGGGAGCCAGCUGAGGCACUUCCUCACGGCUCUCUGUAUCUGUGCACCCUGCUAAUUGCCCGGCCAGGAGCGGAGCGAGGCUCCGGAGGGUAACGCGGGAGCAGCUCUACAGUGUGAAGAGGGUACAGCCUCAUCUUAUGAAGUAUGACAAAAGUGCAGAGAAGUUGGUUCAAGAGUUUCUGCUAAGUUUGUGACUCCAGUCUGAGUACUCUACUAACUGGGAAAAUGAUAAUUUUGUUCAUGACACAGAUUAAGAAUAUUAGAAAUUGACACAUGGGAGAACUGAACAUUUUAGAGGGCAUGGUCUUGCUGCCUAAAAGCAAUGAUCUCUUGAAGUCCAGG